GACAUACUAAGAACUUUCCAGAGAUGGAUUGGUGCCUUCGGGAACUUAGAUACAGGUGCUGCAUGGCUGUCGUCAGCUCGUGUCGUGAGAUGUCGGGUUAAGUCCCGCAACGAGCGCAACCCUUUUCCUUAUUUGCCAGCGGGUUAAGCCGGGAACUUUAAGGAUACUGCCAGUGACAAACUGGAGGAAGGCGGGGACGACGUCAAGUCAUCAUGGCCCUUACGGCCAGGGCUACACACGUGCUACAAUGGUCGGUACAAAGGGUUGCUACCUCGCGAGAGGAUGCUAAUCUCAAAAAGCCGAUCGUAGUCCGGAUCGCAGUCUGCAACUCGACUGCGUGAAGUCGGAAUCGCUAGUAAUCGCGGAUCAGAAUGCCGCGGUGAAUACGUUCCCGGGCCUUGUACACACCGCCCGUCACACCAUGGGAGUUUGUUGCACCAGAAGUAGGUAGUCUAACCGCAAGGAGGACGCUUACCACGGUGUGGCCGAUGACUGGGGUGAAGUCGUAACAAGGUAGGCGUAGAUGA
rnacentral:rRNA from 1 species